rnacentral:ncRNA from 1 species
CUUAAUUUGACUCAACACAGGAAAACUCCCCAGGUCUGGACAUAGCGAGGAUUGACAGAUUGAGAGCUCUUUCUUGAUUCUAUGGGCGGUGGUGCAUGGCCGUUCUUAGCUGGUGGAGUGAUUUGUCUGUUUAAUUCCGUUAACGAACGAGGCCUUAACCUACUAAAUAAUAACGUAAAUUCCUAUUUACGGCAUACUUGUAUCGGUUAGCUCGUACAUCUUAUCUAGUGACUACGAUGCUUUUGUUGCGCAACAGCACUUUUUAAAUGUCUGUCUUGUCCAUAUUGUUGUCCAGUAUUG